GAGUGUUUAUAUAACAUAGGAUGUUAUAUAAACACUCGUUUUAUAGAAAAAAAUGUAUCCUAGGAUAUUAUAUAAACACUUGUUAGAUACAUAUACCAAAAAAGUUUUGAUGGGGAAAAAAGUGUGGCUGAAAGCCCCUUCCACCUGAAGUAAGUGGAUAGGUAAUACAUUGCUAAACACACACCAGUCAAGCCAUAAGACUUGCUUUUCCCACAGAAAUCUGACUUUAACAGUGCUCUCACUACUGCAAGGGAUUCUGGGUAGGCAUCUGCAAAUGAGUAUGUGUCUGCUGUAUACAACUGCUUUGAAACACAACUCAGGAAGAGUUUCAAAGCUGUUGUAUACAGCAGACACAUACUCCAAGGAAUCCAUGUAUAAAGUGGAAUUAUGAGGCAAAAAAUGUGGUUCAUUGUUGAGCUCAUUUGCAUAUGCCUACCCAGAAUCCCUUGCAGUAGUGAGAGCACUGAUAAAGUGAGAUUUCUGUGGGAAAAGCAAGUCUUAUGGCUUGACUGAUGUGUGUAUUUGUGUUUAGCAAUGCAUUAACUAUAUAUAUAAAUAGUGGGAACUCAGCAGAUUCGUCACCCCUUACUUAUCUGUUGAGAAAAUAUGUGUCCUAGGAUGUAUUUUAGGAUGUUACAUAAACUCUUGUUUAUAUAACAUCCUAGGAUACAAAUUUUCUCAACAGAUAAGUAAGGGGUGACGAAUCUGAUGAGUUCCCACUAUUAACUUAAAAUAUUAUAUAGGACUUGACCCCUGCUGCUGGUCUAAAAAACAGAACUGAAAACAAUUAAAUUUUGCCCAUUUAUUUUUAUCUAUCUAUCUGAUAUUUACUUUAUUUAUUUUGUAUUUCCGAAAAUGUAUCUUUUAUAAUUCUUGACAUAACUAAUAGUUUAUUAGGUGUUGGUAUUAUUAAUAUUUAGGGAUUAUUGUGUCUCAAGAAAAAAAACUAAAAACUUUUCACUUCCUUGUGCCUUUUGCAAAUGCUUUUGUUUUUUUCAGCCACAUGGGCUGAGAUCACUGUUCUGUUACUCAUUACUCUUUCAGCUGUCAGAACAUAUCCUCUGACACUAAACAUGUGGAGUAAAAAAGAGAGCAGAAAGGUUAACAGAAUUCAAGACAAAAAAAAUAGAUUUUCUCAAGCAAGGCAAGCGUUAAAGAAGGUAACAGAUUUUAAAGGGGACAUGUGGAUAGCGCGUGCAUGAUUUGUACAAACUGAGCAGUAACAAACCCUAACAUCAUGUUCAAAAUGUAUCUAUGUUGUAUAGCUUUAGCUAAAAUGUAUUUUUAUUAUAUUACUGCUAUUAAUAAAGUUACGUUUUACAUUAGUAA